rnacentral:rRNA from 1 species
AAUGAACGUUGGCGGCGUGGAUUAGGCAUGCAAGUCGAGCGGAAAGGCCCCUUCGGGGGUACUCGAGCGGCGAAAGGGAGAGUAACGCGUGGACAACCUACCCUUGGGUUCGGGAUAGCUGCGGGAAACUGCAGGUAAUACCGGAUAACGUCUUCGGACCAAAGGUGAGAUUCCGCCUGGGGACGGGUCCGCGUCCUAUUAGCUUGUUGGUGGGGUAACGGCCUACCAAGGCUGCGAUGGGUACCGGGCGUGAGAGCGUGGCCCGGCUCACUGGGACUGAGACACUGCCCAGACACCUACGGGUGGCUGCAGUCGAGAAUCUUCGGCAAUGGACGAAAGUCUGACCGAGCGACGCCGCGUGUGGGAUGAAGGCCUUCGGGUUGUAAACCGCUGUCAGUUGGGAGGAAAUCCAGGGGGGUUAUCCCCUCUGGUUGACCUAGCUUCAGAGGAAGGACGGGCUAAGUUCG